rnacentral:lncRNA from 1 species
CACAGCAUCACCUGGAUCCUGAGUGGGGAAGUUAAGGCAGGUGGUUGGAGUUCCCAGUUGAGCUUUCUUUCCGUGGCUGAGCUGAGCUUCCCAGGACUGGAUUUUCAGCUUCUCCUUCCCACUGCAGGCAUUUGUAUCAUGGAUGAACAUUCGACUUCUGUCGUCAGGGCUGGCAGCAUGGCUCAGCAGCUAAGAGUGCUUGUUGGCCUUGCAGAGGACCUUGGUUUGGAUACCAGAACACACACGACAACUCACAGCUAUAAGCACAGUUCCAGAAGGUCCAAUGCCAACCUUUAUCACCUUUAGGAACUUCACAAUACAGUAUAUGUCCAUGCAGGCCUAGAAAUAAACAAAUAUAUUUUGAAUUUUUUUAAAUUUCUGUUGUCAUUGGAAUGUAUCGUGGCUUUUCCAAAAUCUGUGUCUUUUCCGAGUGGGAAAUAUGUAUGCACAUUUGACACAUUCUGCACUGCAUGCAGCAAAGUAG